rnacentral:lncRNA from 1 species
CUUCCCGUGGCUUCUGGAGUCUUCUAGAUGGUAGAAAAUUGCGUGGUGCGUUGAUAUCUCUAUGUAAUCCCGACGUGUGGGCCUUUCUUCCUUAUUUCCUGAUAACCCCCUGCAGAAAUAGACAAACACCAAAACUCGUGGAAUUCUGUCAGAUAAAACCCUAAGUCUAGGUGUUGGUUACAUUUGGAUCCUUUUCUUUAUUUAUUUGAUGAUUAUAUUUGGUACUUAAGGAC